UACGUAGGGUGCAAGCGUUAAUCGGAAUGACUGGGCGUAAAGGGUGUGUAGGCGGUUUAUUAAGUCUGAUGUGAAAUCCCCGGGCUCAACCUGGGAACUGCGUUGGAUACUGGUAAACUAGAGUACGUAAGAGGGGGGUGGAAUUCCACGUGUAGCAGUGAAAUGCGUAGAGAUGUGGAGGAACACCGAUGGCGAAGGCAGCCCCCUGGGACGAUACUGACGCUGAGGCACGAAAGCGUGGGGAGCAAACAGG
rnacentral:rRNA from 1 species